rnacentral:rRNA from 1 species
UGGGGAAUCUUGGACAAUGGGCGCAAGCCUGAUCCAGCCAUGCCGCGUGAAGGAUGAAGUAUUUCGGUAUGUAAACUUCGAAAGAAUAGGAAGAAUAAAUGACGGUACUAUUUAUAAGGUCCGGCUAACUACGUGCCAGCAGCCGCGGUAAUACGUAGGGACCAAGCGUUGUUCGGAUUUACUGGGCGUAAAGGGCGCGUAGGCGGCAAUUCAAGUCAUCUGUGAAAUCUCCGGGCUUAACUCGGAACGGUCAGAUGAUACUGCUUUGCUAGAGUGCAGAAGGGGCAAUCGGAAUUCUUGGUGUAGCGGUGAAAUGCGUAGAUAUCAAGAGGAACACCUGAGGUGAAGACGGGUUGCUGGGCUGACACUGACGCUGAGGCGCGAAAGCCAGGGGAGCAAACGGGAUUAGAUACCCACGUAGUCCCUGAGCGGGCUGGCAAGGCGCAU